UUAAAUUUGUAUUUGUAAACAUUUUAUUCAUCCGAACUUUAAUAUAUUUUGAUGUUUAUCUGUUCUGUUGUGACAAUAAAACAAAUUAUUAUAUUAUUUUAGUGAGAACUCAUAAAUAACUACAAAUAACUAAUGUUUGGGAAAUCUGUUUAUGUUUUGUUAUACGUUUCUGUUUUCUUAAUAUAUAUUGGCCGACAUAUCGGAAACUAGGAUUUUUAAAUCACCAAAUUGUAUUGAUAUCGG